UGCGCAGCUGGCCGGGCUGAGCGCAGCGUUCCGUGAGCAAGGAUUGGGUCGGUGUGCAGCGCUGCGGCCGCCCCUUUGGCGCUAGAACUCGCGGAGGGACGGUGUGCCGGGCGGCUCUCGGUGUCCCAGCUUCCCUGCCCGCCCCUUCCCAAUUUUCCCAAGACUUCAACCUGAAAGCGUGUGAAGCUGAGUUUCUAGAGCCUUUGUCUGCAUGAGAAAGAGCCUGAGAAUAAAUUUAUCGUAAAGGAAAUGGAGCCUGACAAUAUCAUUGGAGCACCUGGAUCCAGCCAAGCCUGAAGCCACUGAUAUUUAGCUUGUUUUGAGACUUCUGCUGAUACCAACGAUGGGACAGUGAACUUCCUGGGUUGAAGGUAGAUCUGCGUGUUCCCUUUUAUCAAGGACUGCACCACAACUACCGUGGAUUAAAGCACUCAUUACCCUACUUCCCCUUGAAGAAGGAAGGAGCUGGACACAAACUGCCAAAUGAGAAGGCUCAGGGAUGCCCAGAUAGCUGAUUAAAUAUUACUUCUGAGCACGUCUGUGAGGAUAUUUCCAAAAGAGAGAAGCAUUUGAAUCAGAAGACUGAGUAAAGAAGAUCACCCUUACCAUUGUGGGUGGACAUCAUCCAAUCUACUGAGGGUGCAAGUAGAACAAAAAGGCAGAGGAAGGGUGAAUUCGCUCUCUGCCUGAGCUGAGACAUCCACCUUCUCCUGCCCUCGGACUCCUGGCUUUCCGGCCUUUGGACUUGGACUGGGAUUUACACCAUCGGCUCCUCCGUUCCCAGGCUUCCAGACUCGGAUUGAAUUACACCACCGGUUUUCCUGGGUCUCCAGCUUGCAGGUGACAGAUUGUGGGACUUCUCAGCCUCCAUAAUGAUGUAAGUCAAUUCCUAACGUCUCUCUCUCUCUCUGUGUAUAUGUAUAUCUCCCACUGUUCUGUUUCUCUGUAUCACCCCACACCUAAGGGUGGCCAGGAUAUUGAGAGAUCUGAAAACAACAACAUCCUUCGGAAACACCCUCCCCCCAAUUCUUCACAUGGCCAGGCCCCUCAUCCUUCAGUUCUCAGCUUCUGUGACCUCCGAAGAGCAUUUCAUGUAGAUGUAUCACUCCAGAGGGUUCCCCAUCACCCCCACCUUUAUUUCCCUCUGACCCCUUGUUAAUUCUCACAAUGUGAACUUAUUCUAUGCUCCUUCUGCCACUGAUGCUCCUUCCCCAGAUAUCCACAUGGCUCAUUCCCUUCUUUCUUUGUUCUAAACUGAUGCUCAAAUCUUGCUGUCUCCAUGAAGCCCACCGUGAUCACCCUGUUUAAAAUUGCAACACAUACCUCACACCCACAGGACUCCUGAUCCCCCAUACUUUGCUCUAUCUUUUCUUUUUUCAUAGCAUUUAACACCUUCUAAUGAAGUAAAUUACUUAUUUGUAAAGCUUAUGUGCUGUCGCCCCCUGCUAGAAUUUAAGCACCGU